rnacentral:rRNA from 1 species
UACGUAGGGUGCAAGCGUUGUCCGGAAUUAUUGGGCGUAAAGAGCUCGUAGGCGGUUUGUUGCGUCGGCUGUGAAAUCCCGAGGCUCAACCUCGGGUCUGCAGUCGAUACGAGCAAACUAGAGUGUUGCAGGGGAGACUGGAAUUCCUGGUGUAGCGGUGAAAUGCGUAGAGAUCGGGAGGAACAUCAGUGGCGAAGGCGGCCAUCUGGGACAACACUGACGCUGAGGCACGAAAGCGUGGGGAGCAAACAGG